ensembl:processed_transcript
AUGCCCUCAUGGCAGUCAGGUGACUUAUAUUGACGAGCCUUUUCUCUGCCCGGGGCCGGCCUAUGCGCCCCAAACUGCUCCCUCAGCUCUUCCUCCUUUGCAUACCCUCUCUUAGCCUUGGAUAACUUCUCAGUUUCCGUUCUUGCUGAAGGCGCCAGGCAUCCUGUCUCCAAGGGAAAAACCCCUUCAAGCCUUUAACCCUGAUGCCUUGGGCUCUAGAAUUGCCUGGACUGCAAACAGUGCAGAAACCACCCUGCAGGACUGUCCAUUUCAGGCGUCAGCACAGUGUUACCCAGUUCCUAGCUUGAGCACCCUGGGACUGCAAGGAAAGUAUUAGAUCCAGUCCCCUUCCCCCCCCCCCGCCCCCGGAAGCUUACUAUCUAGCUGCUGAGAAGGGGUGGAGGGUGUUGUACUGGACUAUCAAGAAACAGGCAGCACAGGAUGUGACUAAGUGGAAAAAGAAGGCAAAAGAAAAACUGCUCCAGGAGAAAGAACAACUGAGAUAUGUCUGGCAAGUUGAUUCAAGAAACAGUUGCCCAGCCUCCAAGCCUGGAUAAGUCUUCACCAAACUAGGUACAAAGACAAGUUCACACUUCUUGCUAAAGGAGGAUACAAUUGUCCUUUGUGCUGGAGAGUGAUCUCAUG